UACGGGGGGUGCGAGCGUUGUCCGGAAUCACUGGGCGUAAAGGGCGCGUAGGUGGUUUGAUAAGGGUGUGGUGAAAGUCCGGGGCUCAACCCCGGAUCUGCCGUGCCGACUGUCAAACUCGAGGGCUGUAGAGGCAGACGGAAUUCCGGGUGUAGCGGUGGAAUGCGUAGAUAUCAGGAGGAACACCGAUGGCGAAGGCAGGUCUCUGGGCCAUUACUGACACUGAGAAGCGAAAGCAUGGGGAGCGAACAGG
rnacentral:rRNA from 1 species